UACGGGGGGGGCAAGCGUUGUUCGGAAUUACUGGGCGUAAAGGGCGCGUAGGCGGCCAUCUAAGUCAGACGUGAAAUCCCUCGGCUCAACCGAGGAACCGCGUCUGAUACUGGAAGGCUUGAAUCCGGGAGAGGGAUGUGGAAUUCCAGGUGUAGCGGUGAAAUGCGUAGAUAUCUGGAGGAACACCGGUGGCGAAGGCGGCAUCCUGGACCGGUAUUGACGCUGAGGCGCGAAAGCUAGGGGAGCAAACGGG
rnacentral:rRNA from 1 species